rnacentral:pre_miRNA from 12 species
CAGGAAGCUCCCACAGAGGCUGUGGCUGGAUUCAAGUAAUCCAGGAUAGGCUGUUUCCGUCUGUGAGGCCUAUUCUUGAUUACUUGUUUCUGGAGGCAGCUGAUGGUCCGCCACCUGAAA